rnacentral:tRNA from 1 species
GGGCUUUAGCUCAGUCGGUUAGAGCAGCGGACUCAUAAUCCGCCGGUCCAGGGUUCAAGCCCCUGAGGC